AAGGUGGAACAGGCUAACUUGGGUCUUAGCAGGGUUUGCCUUCAGUUGGUUGUCCCUGCAGUAGUUUGUCAAGUUGUCUAAGGAUGAUGAGAGGGGAGCUUCUACCUCAUCUAUGUGAGUGCUCUGGGCUGCUAUUCCAAGGUCGUCAGCGUAAAUGAAGCUUCUCAAGCUUCAGGGCUG